CUUCAACUAAGCCAGGGUUUACACCACCUGCAUUCUGACACUGGGGCUCAUUCAGUGACUCCAGCAGUUUUUUGCAUCUGUAGGCCAAGACUGGGACAGCUGUAAAACCACAACCAACUUUCUUUUUCAGAUUCCGCAUUCAGGAUUGUGUGCCCCUACGCAAGAUUUUAUUUAGGUCAGGCUGGUUUCACCGGACAGAGGUCAUAGCUACUUGGAGAAGAAGUUAAUCAAAAGAGAUGCCGUUUAGACUCUGAACCUCAAGAAUAAUCUAAGAGGGAGGACCUGCAUCUCCAUGGCACCUCACUCUGAUUUGCGAGGAUUCCACCAGAGAAAUUGUUCUCAAGAGUGUGAAUUAUGUGGCAGCUUCUAUUUUAUGGUACCUCGCUAUCCACUUUGUAAGAGCACUGUCCUAUGAGCAAAAACUGCAGACAUCUUUGAGCGAUAGAAGAGACAACUGAGCUGGGGGCCAGUUCAGUGU
rnacentral:lncRNA from 1 species